UCAAACAUUUAUUCGAAGUCUCCUACUAAAACUUUAAUUCAUAAGUCAAAUCAAAUUACAACUUAAUCCCAGUUGUAACAGAUAAUGUAGAAAGAUACUUUAAAUUCAGAGGUGAAGGUUUCAAGAAUAAGAACACACAUACUACAAUUCCAAAGGUGAAAGAACUGAAGGUCUCAAGAAUAUGGAAGAAACAUACUAAAAUCCGAACUGAAGGUCUCAAGAAUAUGUCCAGAGUGGCCUCAUGCAACGUUAAUCUGAGGUAGCGGCUCCUUGGUUGAGCUCAGCAAAUCUCAUUCCAACGCGCAUUGAGUGCUUCAAGAACUUCUCGGCACACCUACGUACACAUGUUUCCUCUUGCUUGGUCAAGGAUUUUCGCUG
rnacentral:lncRNA from 1 species